CAUAAAGAAAAUAAUAACAUAAGAUGAGGAAGUAGUAACACAGCUUUGCAAAAAAAAUAAAAUAAAAAAGUGAUAAAUAUGAUUGAACCAUUUACAUUUAACAGAUGAACGCUUUCCGUCCAGUAACUAGUGUAGAACUCCUGUAGCGAUUGCAUCCAAAGUCUGAAUUGGGGGGUCUUCAUGAAUAUUAGGCCGAGGCCACUUUUCUCUCCUGCUCUAAUCCGAAGUGAAGGACCUAACUCAGUAAGUAGUGAGAUCCCCAUCACUGGAGGCAUGCAAGCAGAAUGAAUGUCUGAGGCUGUCUAGGUAACAUGAAUUGCAGGACCUUCCUGGCACCAAAGGCAUAUUUGGUUCCAAGUCUGAGGGGAGUGGUGCUUCUCGCUGGCCUGGCUCGGUGGUGAGCAGAGAAAGAGUCUGGGAGGCACUCCAGCUGGGCAGUGUCUCUGGGACAGGAUGGGGUUGGUAGAAAGAAUUAAAAACCCAAAUUGAGGUUCAAAGAGUGCACUUCGCAUUGGCCAGUGGGCCAAGUGCUUUGCUUCUGUGAGCCUCAGUUUCCCCAUCUGCAGCACCGGAGCGGUGAUUUCUGACUCGUGGGGCUUUGAUGCAAACUGUGGCCCAACUCCAUUCCAGGCACCAGUUGACAUUCAUGAAGGAGGUGUGAGAAGUAGGAGGCAUGCUCUGGACAACUGGGGGCUCAGGUGCCUAGACUUCCCUUCCCCACUCCUGAGGAUGAUUCCCAAGGACUCCUGAGCUAGGACAACUGACAGGCCAAGUAAAAAGACAGAUACUCGGCAGCGUUCUCUCUUGCUGUUUUCCUCCACCUUCACAACUCUGAAAUCUGCACCCACAGCUCCAUCCUCUCAGAGCCCAAAGUGCCUGGCCUCCUCUGGCUGAGUUAGAGUCACAGACUUGGGAUCUGGGGACAAGCUUGGCCGAGAGACUUCCCUUGGGGCCUAUGUAGAACUUCUGGGCAUGUGUUGUCUGUAAAUCUAAUUCUGACCAGCAGAUUAAGCACAUAAGCAGCUUUAUUAUAAUCUUUACCAUUUGUGCAGCUCUUAAUAAUUGCCACUUACUUACUGUGUGACCUUGAGCAAGUUACUCCACCUCUCUGAGCUUUAGGCUCCUUCUCCUUAAAUCAGAGGACAUAAUGGUAUCUAUCCAUAGGGUGACUGUGACAAUAACUUUGGAGCUCGUGUAAGAAGCAGGACACUGCUGGCUACAAAGCGAGUCCUCCAUAUACAAUUAGUGUUGUGCAUCAGGCUCCAUGUUCGAAGUGCAUUGGACACGGCCAUGUUCUUAACAGUGAACAAAAUCUCCAACCCAUCUGUCUUACAAUGGAACUCCACAAUGGAUCUCCCUUCAAGGCUGCCAGCAAUCAAAGGACAUCGUCCAAACAAACCAGUGAA